rfam:Acidobacteria bacterium RIFCSPLOWO2_12_FTLL_54_10 rifcsplowo2_12_scaffold_34525, whole genome shotgun sequence.
GGGCCCAUAGCUCAGCGGUUAGAGCAGCGGACUCAUAAUCCGUUGGUCCCAGGUUCGAAUCCUGGUGGGCCCA